rnacentral:rRNA from 1 species
UACGUAGGGUGCAAGCGUUAAUCGGAAUUACUGGGCGUAAAGCGUGCGCAGGCGGCUUUGCAAGACAGAUGUGAAAUCCCCGGGGCUUAACCUGGGAACUGCAUUUGUGACUGCAUGGCUAGAGUGCGGCAGAGGGGGAUGGAAUUCCGCGUGUAGCAGUGAAAUGCGUAGAUAUGCGGAGGAACACCGAUGGCGAAGGCAAUCCCCUGGGCCUGCACUGACGUCAUGCACGAAAGCGUGGGGAGCAAACAGG